GUUUCGGUUGACUUUGCCGGAGAUUCCUAUAGUCCGCCGUCCGCAAAUAAUCCUAUGAACUCGAAAGUUCCGGCGAUCUCUGAUUUUGACGGUGAAUUUUGAUGGAAAUUAGAAAUUCAGAAGGAAAGCUAGCGACUUCGCUCAAGAAUCUGGAUUUGAAUAAGAGUCAUGAACCAAAGAAUAAAGAUUCCUGUUUCGGCUUAUCUAUCUUCCUCACGAAUCUCUGCGUUGAAACGAGGACCUCCAUCUCUUAUUAGCUUAUGCCUUGGUGUUGUUGGGAGGCAUUUAGAAGAAAUCAUUCCUUGUUUAGCUGAUAUCUCCGACAUCUUUCCUGCCGACAUCAAGAUGUCGAUUGCAGCCAUUGCUAAAAGAAGAAAGCUACUGGAUGAUGAUUUGGUUGUCUCUUUGGCUGACACUUCCUGGGAGAUUCUAGACGUUAGCGGUUCAGAUGUUUCGGAUUCUGGGUUAGCUAAAGUCUCGGAGAUGUGCAAAUCUCUCCGAGCUGUGGACAUUAGCCGGUGCAACAAGAUCACAUCCAUGGGAGUCUCGGAGCUUGUACAAAACUGCCGAUCAUUGGAAACUCUAAGAUGCGGAGGAUGCCCAAGCAGUGAGUCCACCGCACGCAGAUCUUUGAGUUUGUUUAAGCCAGACUUGAGUAAUGUUGAAGGAGACACAUGGGAAGAACUAGACGUUACAGAGAUUGGUCAUGGUGGUCACUCACUGCGUUGGCUUGUUUGGCCAAGAAUUGAUAAAGAUUCGUUGGAGAUGCUAUCCAUGGAAUGUCCAAGAAUAGUAGUAAACCCCAAGCCUUCGUUUCUCACUUACAGUCUACACGAGGUUCCUCGAGAAGCAUCACCAGACGUUGCAUUGGACGAGCCCUUUGUGAAAGAUAUUGAUCCCAAGACGUGGGUUGUUAGAGGAGUUGUGAAGAUACCCACAACAUCCUCAUUAUCAUUGACCUCCUCCUCCAGUGAGCUGUCGAUAGCAGAGAAGUUCAGACUAGCGUUUGCGGAGAGAGACGCACGGUUAGCCCCUAAACGAGCAAAGAAUGCAAGGCAACAGCAGCGUCGUGCUGAGAGGGAUUGGAUGAUGUCCAGUGACGAAGCCAAAGCAAUGGCUUUUGCAUCAAAGGCCACCAGGUGUUUGCGCAAGAAGUAGUUUACUUGAUGAAUGAGGGUUGUAUUCUCUGUAUAAAAACAGGCGUCAAAGAAUACGUAAAGAGGAAGAUCAGUGUAUGCCACUUCUCUACUUUGGUUAUGUUGUAUCAUUUCACAGAGUUUUUUUUGGGAAAGCAAAGCGAAUGAAGAAGAACAGUGGGUUCUUAUUGAAGAUAAAACUCUUGGCUCUGUUACUUUAAUUAUGAAUCUGUUCAUGUUAAUGCUUAGAUUCAAAUUAAAGUGGUAAAAAACGAAUUAUAUGUAAUGAUAUUUGUCACUUCUGCA